CAAGUACUCCCUCCGUCCGGAAUUACUUGUCAUCAAAAUGGAUGUGUCUACAACUAAAAUACAUCUAGAUACAUCCAUUUCAAUGACAAGUAUUUUUGGACGGAGGGAGUACAAG
rnacentral:pre_miRNA from 1 species